UGUUUUUUUGUUGUUUUUU
rnacentral:sRNA from 1 species